rnacentral:rRNA from 1 species
CCGGGUGAGUAAUACAUCGGAACGUGUCUUCUAGUGGGGGAUAACUGCCCGAAAGGGCAGCUAAUACCGCAUGAGACCUGAGGGUGAAAGCGGGGGAUCGCAAGACCUCGCGCUGGAAGAGCGGCCGAUGUCCGAUUAGCUAGUUGGUGAGGUAAAGGCUCACCAAGGCGACGAUCGGUAGCUGGUCUGAGAGGACGACCAGCCACACUGGGACUGAGACACGGCCCAG